rnacentral:rRNA from 1 species
GACGAACGCUGGCGGCGUGCUUAACACAUGCAGGUCGAACGGAAAGGCCCUGCUUUUGUGAGGUGCUCGAGUGGCGAACGGGUGAGUAACACGUGAGUAACCUGCCCUUGACUUUGGGAUAACUUCAGGAAACUGGGGCUAAUACCGGAUAGGAGCUCCUGCUGCAUGGUGGGGGUUGGAAAGUUUCGGCGGUUGGGGAUGGACUCGCGGCUUAUCAGCUUGUUGGUGGGGUAGUGGCUUACCAAGGCUUUGACGGGUAGCCGGCCUGAGAGGGUGACCGGCCACAUUGGGACUGAGAUACGGCCCAGACUCCUACGGGAGGCAGCAGUGGGGAAUAUUGCACAAUGGGCGGAAGCCUGAUGCAGCAACGCCGCGUGCGGGAUGACGGCCUUCGGGUUGUAAACCGCUUUCGCCUGUGACGAAGCGUGAGUGACGGUAAUGGGUAAAGAAGCACCGGCUAACUACGUG